GCGUUGAAACACUAGAUCGCGUUCGAUCACCGAAGUUAAGCAAAACUGAGCCUGGCCAGUAACUAGAUGGAUAACCACUUAAGAAUACCAGUUGCUGUAA